CCAUCCUUCCUCCUGGGCAACCGAGAGGAUGGCGUGAGGACUCCUGGAAGCCCCAGGACGGGCCCAGGGGCGUGGUAGGGAGCUGUAGACCCGAGUUUUUAUCGUCCUCUGGCGCCGACACUCGGCUGCGGAAUCGAGUUUGAGCUCGGUGUAGCUGAAGUUUAAAUUGUAGCUGUUUCAAAGGUAGACCCCAUCUCACCCCCACCCCCGACCAAGACCUCUGGAAGCGUCCUGCCUGGAAGCCGCUUGUGGGGAGGGCUCUCCUAGGGUCUCCAGGCUCCCGCUGGAGCACGCCUGGAGAUGCCUUGGGAGUCUGAGGAACCCCAGAUUCAGCACCCCUGCUUAACCUGCUUUUAUGAAGAAAAAAAUGCAACUUGGUAAACUUCACUCAAAGGAGAGACCCACUAAUACCUCCACCUACCUCACACCCAGUGAAGGUCUGGCUGUCCUUCUUUCUUCAUCUGUUCAGGCUGCUGUAACAAAAUGCUGUAAGUGGGUGACUUAUAAA